rnacentral:rRNA from 1 species
AUACGUAGGGGGCGAGCGUUGUCCGGAAUUACUGGGCGUAAAGGGUGCGUAGGCGGCCGAUUAAGUCAGAUGUGAAAUACCAGGGCUCAACCCUGGGGGUGCAUAUGAAACUGGUUGGCUUGAGUGCAGGAGAGGAAAGUGGAGUUCCUAGUGUAGCGGUGAAAUGCGUAGAGAUUAGGAGGAACACCAGUGGCGAAGGCGACUUUCUGGACUGUAACUGACGCUGAGGCACGAAAGAGUGGGGAGCAAACAGGAUUAGAGACCCUGGUAGUCCACGCCGUAAACGAUGGAUACUAGGUGUAGGGGGCGUUAGGCCUUCUGUGCCGGAGUUAACGCAAUAAGUACCCCGCCUGGGGAGUACGUGCGCAAGCAUGAA